AGAGGUGCCAGCACUUAUUUUCCCUGUUAAGAUGACUGUGACAUUGCUUGUUGUGCUCUGAUUUUCUUUCUAAUUUUUGUUUCUGUUUGUUUUCUCUUUAUGUAUGCCAAGUGUAUAGUGACAUUUUACACAGUGCUGCUCUACAUUGCUCUCCAGGUUGGAGAAGGGCCUGGUGCAGAGCUUGAGUGCAGCCAGGUCUUACCCAAAAGGGCAGGAGACCCACUGGCUCCAGACUUCUCAGCCCAGCGGAGCCACUGGGCACAACAAAAGCAUAGUAACUCCAGGUUCCACAGUUUCAUGAGAAAGGAGCUCCAUUAAAGCAUGAAGAACAAUAGUUUGAUUAUAACCACUGUAAAACAAAGAGCUGAGUGAAGUCUUGGAGUGCUGUUGCUCUGGGCAAGUUCUGGAGCAGAGAACAAUUUAACACAGAAGCUUUCGGCCAAAUUUUGACUGGAAGAUAGAAAGAUGCCUAAAUACAUUCAGUUACCAGCCACAAAGCUGGUAUAUGAUAUGAUUAACAAGAAAAGAUGUAUCCCCAGUCUGACAUGCUGUGUGCUCUGACAGAACUGAAACCUGCAAGGGAGACAUGCAUGGAAAAGCAGAGGUUUGUCAGUGCAAGAAUGACUUUUCCGUAUCAUCUCCUUUAGGGCAAAACUCUUAAGAUCUAAUUUUCUAUGGACUUCUGUAAGAGUAAGUGUGGCCAUGCUGAUAUUAACAUUUUGGCUUGGAGCAGCAGUGUAUUGCUACACAGAUCUCCUGGUUGCUCCUUUCCUUUACUUGGAUUAGGUUUAGAAUGUAUUAAACUAGGAACAAGGGGAAGCUUUGAUUUAUUGAUCUCUUCCUACUGCACAGAAUUGCUUGCCAAUAUAGAUACAAUCUGUGAGGCCGUAGAAAGGCACUCCUGAACACACUGGUGUUACAUGGAUCUACUCUCCAUAGCCACGCAGGACAUGAAUGAAACUUUGCAAAAGGUAUGGGUAACUUUGAAAUAACUUCUGUUUGAAAGCAACUGCAACCUGUCAAGCAUGACAAUAUAUUCGUAAUUUUCAUACUCUUUUGCUGUUCCUGUACUUCUGAAUUCUCUGUGACCUUGUAAGCUAUGUCUGCACUUUUGGAGAUAUACAAACAGGCUAUAGAUGCAUGGCUAGUCUGCUUAGGAGUCUGAUAAACUAGCCGGAGUGAACUGCAUACUAUCUUGACUGCCUUUUGGUUGUUUUGUAGGAUAAAGAACCUUAAUGCAAAGCUCAUUCCAGAGACUUGUGAUUAGCCCACUGUCUCUGUUGUCAGCACAGCCCCAUUGGAAUGCUCUCAGGUUUUGGUCCUAAACGGAGCAGAGCUGAUACUCUGAGGAAAUUAAAAAAUGAAAGCAGACAUGAUGUUGCAGCAAUACUUGGAGAUUUCGUUAUCUGUGCAAUUAAGUGGUAUGAAUAUUUACCACAGAGGAAAAAAAAAAAAUUGUAUGUUGUGUAGCUCCACAUCCAGUGGCACAUACCUGAAUUUAGCAUGUACUUUCCUAAAAGACUUUCAUGGAUAAGUGGUGCAGAGCUCUCCACACCUUCAAAUCAGAUUUCUCAUCUGUAUGUAUUAUAUAAAUACCACAUAGAAAUUUGGACACAAUUGUCUCGCAGUCAUUUGAUCCAACCAUUCAUAUUACCUGGAACAGUACAAACAAAUGAAGACACAAAAUAAGCUGUGGUCACACUACAGUUUGAAUACACUCCACUGUUCUGAAUUCAGAACAAUAACAUUACAUAGCUUACCUUACAUUCUGAUGAAUACCUUAUAUUUUGAUGAUCUGUUUAUGCUAAUAUUCAUGGUAUUUUGUUUUCAUAAUAUUUGUAGUCAGUUGCUUGGCUAUAUGAUCUUGGGGAUUGUCUAUACAGUUGACUAGGACAUACAAUUCCUGGUUUAUUCUGAGAAUCUGAGCCACUCUUCAGUGUCACUCCAUCUCUGGGUACAUUUUUUCCAGAGACUCCAAUGAAAGUGUAGAGUAGUAGCAACUGCUAAGAAGCAUAAUCUAUCUUUUUGUUAGAGGAGUUUCCAAAGGAUCCAGACCAUUCUAUGGAAAAUGUAAACAUAUCAAAUUUUCUUUUUGGUCGCACUUUGGCAAAAUAACACUUUGGGGUGGCCCACAAAAAUAUCAGAAAGGCCUUAUAAAACUCAUGUGCCAGUAUGUGUCAUUUUAAUUCCUUCUAUUUACAGAAAUCCAUCAGGUGCUUUGCAUGUAUAUUUAUGGCUUUUUAGAGAAAGAAUCAAAUGGUUAUUUACAUUCAUGUGAAAUGUUUUCAUUUUCCUGAAUCACCACAUUCUAACAGAAUAGUUUUCUAAAAGAAAAUUCUCAACACUCUUUGUUCCCAAACACUCCUUAUCAGUGUUUAUUGAACAUUCUUGUCCUAUACACCUUUGGAAAUCCUAUUAUUUUUCUUGGUCUGGUGCUUGGUUAUGAUUUAGGAUGUUUUUCUAGCUCACACCGCUUACCAAUUCAAACACUGUGAAGAAUAUGUUGUUUGAACCAGUCUGAAUCUCUGGAUUUCUAAUCCUGUUGGUUGAGUGUACUGAACUUUCUUUCCCUAAGCCUCUCUCACAUUUCAUUUGGAAGGAAGGCAAUAGUUCUCCUUUUUAAGCAAUUAGAAAUUUAUCACAAAUUGUGAUACUUACUGUCAGUUAGUUACCUGUUGAUGUUGUGCAAGCAUGAAAAGGGCCAGUUCUAGCAAUAUUCACCAGAAAGUUAUGCUGAGCAGUUAACAAGAUACCAGGAAAACUGCUAUGUUGUGCUGUGUUCUUUGUCCAAUCUUUGCUGUCAAGUAUUUUCCAAUACAAAGUCUCUGUUACUAGGUUGAAAAACAGACUUUGCUGUUGCUUUUUUUUCCUUCCCCUUUUCUAACCCACCCUGCACUAUAAUUUUAAAUGAACUGAAGGAUGGCUUGCCAGACAGUGGUCACAUGAAGAUGAUUUGAAUACUACAGAUGAUUUUUUUGUGUGUGUUUGGGAGGAUCCUAAAGAGGCUGUUGAACUGUCUAUGCAAGUAUGGCCUUCUGUCCAACAGUGACUAAAAGAACAAAAAUUUAUACUGCUAUAAUAACAGAUUGUGGAAUUCAGUGCAUUUCUUUCUACCCUCAUGAACAUCUUUUGUUUUUCUUGAAAGUAAAAUAUUUCAAAGAAGCUUUUAGCUCUGACACGGCUGUUGUUCCCCCCUACAACCUCAUGCACAGAAGAAAGGGCAUAGCUGCUGGAAAAUACUGAGGAGGUGGUGGAGCACAGCACCACUUUCCACUGCUCAUCCCCACCUGUUGCAAGGCCAAGUCUUCCUUGUGUCCUUCUGCACCAGCUGUAUGGAACCAAGGAGAGCCAUCAAGAAGCUUCCAGUGCUGUGUUGUCAACACUGAGCUUCCUUAGCUCAAGCAGGAGUUCUGAAGACAAGAACUGGAGUCUUUGGGGUGUCAGCAAGGAAGCACAACAGGGGUUCUCAGCACCAGAAGUUCAGCUUGGCAGAACCUGGGAGGAAAGGCCUGUCUCAGACUUCACAGAAAUCACUCACUGCCUGACUAGAAGGUGCAUAAGAUGCACCUUUCCAAAACUUUCUUAUAUGAAUGAAUCUAAAAGGAAACUAGUUCAAGAUCCCCUAUCUCCUCCACAUCUUUAUGCCCCUUUGUUCCUUGCUUGCCUGCAGCUACCAUUUAUGAUGCACUCUCAUGUAUAUUGCAUUUGAGAGCAUUUGAGAGCUGCAUGGAAAAACUUUGCCAAAAAGUGCACUUGGAGACAGUGGAAACUAUUUGUGAAAUUUUGUGAAAUUGGGUCUAAAUCAGUAAAUGGUUUCAAGCAAACAGA